ensembl:lncRNA
GGCGGAGGUGUAAAGGCGCUGGUUCUGGGGUGCAGCUCUGCCCUACGUGUGGUGGGGAGAUGCUGUGGGAGAAGAGGACUCCGUGAAGAAUGGACUGUUGGUCUUAUUGAUAGGCUUCAACAGCAUCGGUAUGAAUCAGCUCCCGGUGUGUGAAUUCCAGCCAGGCUGUUUUCUGAGGCACGAGGGAUUCUGCUGAGGAGGGGAUGUGACCCAACACGUGUGCACUUACUGACCAUCACCUAGAGCGCUGGGCCGCUGCCCUGCCUGAUGUGACCUGCGGGACACAGACAUGCAAUGGUGCAGAAUGACGGUGCUGCUUGCUUUGUCGUCGUGAUUGAGCCUUGCUAUGGACUUAUUUAUGGGAUUGGUGUCCUGCUACUUGUCUCCAGCAGCUGCCUCGUAUCUGCUACCUUAUGGAUGCCUUCCAACUCGGGAUAUCCUAUGAGUCUUCCUUCAUUGUCCUUCUACUGAACCUGGGACCUCCACAGUGAGCAGCUAAAGGUAUUCUGGGUCUACACCGGUGAGAAGAGAGAAGCUCUCUGCGAGGCCUGGAAGUAUGACACAUGCUUAUGAGCAGACUCUAGGCACAUACAAUGUACUCAUUAAAUGCCACGGGGACUGCUGUGCCAGCAGGAGGGAUUCUAGCCCCAAAAAGCACUGCGAGAGCUGCGUGACCCCUCACCCCCAGGCAGAAGUGGGGGAGGACACCUCCAUCUUGUAAUCUGCAUCUGUCAAAAGAAGUGCUCUCCUCAUUUUUUGCCAGUUUGGGAAGGGUUAACGAGGGAAGCACAGCCCCCAGGGGCCAGCACUGUUGUUCCAUGCAGAUUGGCUUGUUCUUGUUUCUUCCAUCGAUCGCAAUCACUCAGAGCUGUGCCUGUAACAAACUGCCUUAAAUCAUUGCAAUCAUAAUAAGCACACCUUGGUAAAUAAUGCAUGAGGUGUCCGUAAGCCUAUAUUCAUUAGGAGGAAGGCGCAUAUAGAGCACGUUCUAGCUGCAUCAUCUGUCACAGAGAGAAGCAAAAUGACAAAGAGAGAUAAGAUCAGUACGUUUUAAGCUGGAGAAGAAAGACCAUUCAACCCAAGCAGAAGCAGAUAAAUAGGGAAUCAUUACCUUCACUGCCUUCAUCUUCACACCAAGCUUGCCACUUGCCUGGGCAACGUCACAAGAGAUGUGGCAACGUGAAACCACAGGUCCUGUCCCCAUUCCCUGGAAGCGGAACCCCUGUGCAGCUUUCAGAUACCCGCUGCCCAGAGCUCGAACCAGCCCAUUGUAUUUCAGAUUACCUGAAGAACUUCUCCGUUGGCAAACUCAGCCCAGAAAUAAGGUUUGAAGGAUAUUCCUGUGUUUCCCAGGAGCAUGCAGCUUUUGAAUUGCUAUUUCCCCUGGUAUUAGGAGUUCUGGAAGCUGAAGCCAGCCAGAUGAUCAGUAUCUCGAACCACAUCGUGAGGGUUCCUUUUGGGAAAAUGCAUCUGUAUAACGAAUUGUCCUAGGUGCAUGAAUGAAGUGUUGAAAAUCAGCUGAGGGGCAGAACAUAUGGGGAAGGUGUGUCUGUGGGUGUGCUGAAAUGUUAUCUCCAAAUUGCUCGUUAAAACUUCAUUUUAGCGUCCUGAUUCAGAUCCUGUUUGUUCACGUGCAGUCAGGAGCGAUUUUUCCCCGAAGAAAAGCAAAAUAGGCUGCAUGUUGAAGCCCUCUUUGGUUUGGAGCACAAAACAAUUUCCACUUAACCUCAUUAGAGGCCCUAUUUGAGCGGAUUUCUUUGUCAAUAUUGAGUAUAAUCGCCUUUGGCCCAUGCAUCCUUUUCUCUACCUGGCUUUGACCGUCAGCCCCGUGUCUGUUAUUUUUGGGAUCCACUAGUGCUGCUUUGGCAGGUUGUUGAGGCAGUUCCCAAGUAGUCAUUCAAACGCUGUUCAAAACCCUCAUCUAAUAAGCUAGAAGCACAGCAGCUUCCAGAGCUGCACUCCCUUCCAGCAACUCCCUUUGCCAGCUAGAAAUUACGCUAUUUUCCAAUUUCAUUAUUACCUCUGUUUUUUAUUACAGCAUCAUUAGAGUGAGAAAACUGGAAAGGAAGUGGGGAUUGUAUAAUGCAGGAAAUAGUGAAUUAAUACCUCUACCAUAUGAUGGAAUGGUGCAGAGCUGUGACAGUAUCAGGGAAAUAUAGAGCAAAUACAGGCUGUGCUGGCUGGACGAGGGCGAGACUUCUCCACUUGCACUGAGGAGUAUCUGCUCACAGAAAUAACUAUUUCUCAGAAAUGCAAGAUUUGCACUUCCUUUCUGCACGUGCACGUUGCAAAUAAAGCCAUCACGAGGAUAUGGAGUGGGGGGAAAAAAACAGCUUUUAUUGCACAUAGGUGGGCUGUAGCGUGUUGGCAAAAGAAGGCUGAUGGAUUGCCUGAGAAGCAGCGUCAGAGCAUUUGAAGGAAGGGGCCAUGUAUGAUGAUAACAAAGAAUUGUCUAUUCCUUACCGUGUGGCUCUACAGUGCUAAGCCCUGGGAAGUGUUUAUUAGCUCUUGAGCAUUUAUAACUACCAGCUUCAGCGGGCUGCAGUGAGUGGGAAAGCUUGGCUCCCACAGCCAGCAAUGUGAAGGGGUGUGUCUUUCAUUCUGAAAGGGUAGGCAGCACUAAAGAGAGAAAAGCACCCUUUCUGCUCCUUUUCUUCUUUUCCAAUGACAUCUAUGUUUUCAGGCUCGCUGGCCUUACAGUGACCCACGGAUCAGACCCAUUAGUUACUGUGCACCCUGUAAUUUGGGCUGAAGGACAGAACCGUGGCACUGCUCACGGUUUCUGCGGCUGCUCGGAUAAAAGCCUCUGUGAGAUGCAUCUCCUAAAAACCCACUUUGUUUGUAGUACCACCAGAAAGUAAUUAAACGCUGAGAUCCUGAGUCAAUGUCUCAAAAGCCGUCGAUGACAUCAAGUUGAUUGGUUUUGCUGCAGCCCUUGAAAGCAGUGGUGGGGAAUCGAUGCAGCCAUCCUCCGCCCAGGACCUGCUUUUAGGAGGACAAAGUGAGCCUUAUUCAUGGGCACGACAAAGGGUCCAGCGCUGCUUUGAUGUGGUGACCGUCCAAUGGCCCCUUCACCUGUUUCUUCCCUUUGGAGGAACGCUGCAAUGCAUUUUCAUCCGUCUCUUUGGCCAGAUUCUUCCUAGAAAUCGCUGCUAUUCAGCAAGAAGUGAAGGUUUCCUUUUUGAAAUCUUUAAUGAAACGACUACAAAUAAUAGUCUACCUUCCACCCAAGAAGGGCAGAAUUAUUCCUUCUCCCGCCUAUACAGAUGGAAGGAAUGCUUAUGUAUGGAUUGUGUUUUCCUACAGCCAGGCUGGAUGACAAUCUGGUUGACUUCUAGGACGCAGCUUCUCGAAGAUGCUGCUCCUUCAGCAGCUGCAGUGCCCACGCUGGUGGGAUGUCUGGCACGUGGGACUGCAGAGUAAAUGCUUAAUGAGGAGGUUGCUCACAAAGGCAGUGGUACAAGGUGGUCCAUUAGAGGCUUCAGGCCUAACUCGGUUGAUCUUGAAAUACAAACAUAAUACUUUCAGGCUUAAAUAGCAGACUGAUCACAGCAGUCCCCGCUAGAAUCUCUACGUGUCUAAGGCACUGGACAUAAAUUAGUAUCAUCAGUUCAAACACCUUGAAAAUUGGAAAUAAAUUAUGCCAGACACUGGAGACAGAUGGCAUCCAUACACCAGGCAGAGCCAGAAAGCCCAGCGCUUCGGACAUCUGUAGAUGAAUUCCCUGAAGCACCUGGAGCUGCAGAGAGGAGAGGAGAAAGUGAUCUGUGCCUGAGAAUGGAUGGGUUUCUUUGGAAGUAUCACUUCAGCUUCAUCCGAGCAGCAAAGAGAGAAACUCGUUCACUAACCCACUGUUCUGCUGUGUCCUCCUAUAGGGAUAUAAAUACGGCUGAAAAAUGUCUGCAUUGUUUAUUACUUUGAAGUCAAACGUGCACCGGCUAUUUUCAGAAACAUGGGAGAAGUAAUGCCUUCUGGCUGGCUUUGAGUUGCCAGGUCGUCUGAAUAAUUUCCCUUUCCCUGUCCCUCUGCUUUUAUAUACACAUGGAAAGGCAGACACGGAUAUUUUAAUGUAUGUAUUAAAACUAGACCAAAAGUUAGCAUGCUGUUUGGAGAUGUGUGGCAUAGAAAUAAAUCGCAGAGGAGAGCAAGGAAGGAAUGUGUGCUGCUCCCUGGCAGCCUCGGCUCGUUUGGGGCUGCACAGCAGAGCAAGGCACAGCUCCUGCCCCACAGCCUCCGUACGAAUAUAUCGAGCUCUUUUGUUUCCCACGUGUAGGGUCACCGUUAUGUGCUUUCUCACCUAUGUGACUGCAUCAAACAAACAAGAAAUGCCCUUCAAAAGCCGAUCCAGGUCUAACCAGUCAGUGAGAUAUGGGACUUGGCAGGUAGCAGAAGGCUUCAGGACCGAUCCCCAGCCUGAUGGCACCAAGAGCAAAUGAGAUCUGCAAGACAGCACCCCACAGUUCCCAAAGCUCAGAAAACAGGAAGGGACGUGAGACAAAGCUGAUGGCAUAGCUCAAACACCGGCAGAACAGCUAUGCACGGAGUUCCCUAAGAACACAGCCUGCUUGUAAGGGUCAUUAUUGUUAUCCAUGGCUUUCCAGCCAUACAAUGGAUAGACAACUACAUGGCAACUCUACACAGCCUCCAGAGGGUUCUGCGUGCACCAAUAGAGAGACAGAGCUCUAACAAGGAGAAUGGCAGUGCUUGAGGUUGUCUUAAUUGACUGCUAAUGGGUCCCAACCGGGAGACAGGCUCAGCUGGGUGCCAUUUGCUCUAAUUGAUAAGAAGCCCUGAUUGGGUCCUUGGAGGGUG